GCGAGAGGAGCGGGUUAGUUACGGCAUUUUUGCCCGCGAAAUGGUGCUUCUGUCUGAGGCACGGAAUCCUCACUUGUGGGUUCCACGUGGCCCCUGCCCAGGGUGGAGAAGCGGGAGAGGCCUCGGCCUGGGGUGACGUUUAGAGCUCCACGAAGUGACCAAAAAUGACCCAAGUUCAGCCACGGGAGCUGGGGAUCCCCGAUGGGCCUGGAUUCAUUCCAGUUCUGCCCCCCCGAGGGUCCGAAAUGGGGUGACCCCCUGAGCCAUGGGGGAAUUUAGGGGGUCGUGAAUCCAACCCAGGGAUUUUGGGGGGACAUUCGUGUUUUGCAAAGGAUUCAAGGUGACUCCAGGCCUGGCACGCACCUGGAUGCAGGUGCUGCAGGUGCUGGGGGGGCUCAGCUCACGGAUCAUCGAUGUCUUUAUCAAUGCAAAUAAAGUUAUUUUUUUGUUAAAAA